CUCCAUUCAACUCAAAUUAUCAUCGUUUCUUGAAGACAUCCUCUCCUCCUCCCCAUCCUCUCCUCCUCCCAUCCUCUCUCUGAUAAAAUUUGAAAUGGAGCUUGCAAAAUCGCAAACCCUAACCCUAACUCAAAUCUCCACUCUCACUUCAAUAAAUCAAAGAGGUCACCGUCAAUUUAUUGGUUGCUUCGGCCACAAUUUGAUUAGGCCUCCUUCUAGUGCCGGCCUACUACUUCGAUACCGUGGAAGGAAAUUACGUGGUCAAAGAAAUGGAAAUAAGAGGUUCGUAGUUAAGGCGUCUUUGGAUGCCAAUUCGGUUCUGGUCGUUGUUGCUGUCACUGCUUUCUCUGCUCUCUCUCUUGCUUACUAUUAUCGAUUUAUAAAUAGUAACAUCAAGAACAGCAAAAAGAUUUCCUCUAGCUCUAUUCAGGUGUUGGGUUCUCCAAGUUUUGCAUUCUCUCAAUUAGGAAGAAGCAUUGUGAACCAGAUUACUGGAAGCCAGUUUUUGCAUUUUGGAGGUCUUCAUAGAGAGGCCCGUGAAGUAGAAAGCCAAGGAUCUGUGGAGAAGGCAAGUGAAAAUAGCCAUGAGUUUGAGGAAAAAGAGACCCAUGUACAGUUUCAGGAGACUGCGUCAUUGCAUGGCAGUUCUCUUUUGAUAAAAGCGGUGGAGUCUUCUGGUGCGAAUUUUGUUGCCGCUAAUGUUUGUGAUACUGUGGUUGUUGAAGAAUCUGAAGUUGGUGAUGCAAGGGUAUCUCCUUUACCUUCCGUGCUUAGUGAAUCAGGCUCUGCACUACCUCUUAUUUUUGCAACACAAAUGACUGAGUUGACACGGGAAAAAAGUGGAGAAGAAAUUGAGUUUGGUUCUGAGUUGUCUGAAUCUGUGGAAAAGGUGAAGUCUAAUGCUGUUUUGGUUCCUGUAGAUAACGAGUCUAUUGAAAAGGCUGAGCUUUCUAGCUAUAACGGUGCCAUUAGCCAAUCUGUUAGAGAAGAUCUUUACACCUUUUAUGGGGCGAACCGAUCAGUGGUAAAAUCUGCAUCAAAUCUAGGUUUAAAAGAAACAUCUUCUCAUGCCUCCCUGCUUAAAAGCAAAAGAUUUUCUUCCUUGAAAAUGAAUACUGGACUAGAGACGGAAGAUUUAUCUUCUCAGCAGCCUCUUCAAGCUGCAGAUCAUGUUCAAAAAACAAUGCCACCUGCACAUUAUGAAGGAGGGUCUUUCCAUAAAAGUAAAAACCUUCCAAGAAGCAAGGAAAGAAAACUUCCGAUUCAAGAUAGCCAUUCCAAACUCCGACAGCUGCCCUCCCCAAAUGGCAUUCCUUCUAAAGUAAAAGACCAUCCUCCAGAGGAAUACAAUUCUUACAAUCGUUUGCUAAGAGAGGGGAGGUUAGCUGAGUGUUUAGAUUUGCUUGAAGAUAUGGAAAGGAGGGGUUUGUUAGACAUGAAUAAGGUUUACCAUGUGAAGUUUUUCAAACUCUGCAGAAGUCAAAAGGCUGUCAAGGAAGCCUUUCGUUUCUGCAAGCUGGUUCAAAACCCAACCUUGAGUACAUUUAACAUGCUAAUGUCUGUGUGUGCUGCUUCACAAAAUUCAGCGGGGGCUUUUGAAGUUCUACAACUUGCCAAAGCUGUUGGAUUGAAAGCUGACUGCAAACUUUACACAACUUUAAUAUCAACAUGUGCUAAGAGUGGAAAAGUUGAUGCAAUGUUUGAAGUGUUUCAUGAGAUGGUUAAUGCUGGUGUGGAACCAAAUGUUCAUACUUAUGGAGCACUUAUUGAUGGUUGUGCCAGAGCAGGACAAGUUGCCAAGGCAUUUGGUGCAUAUGGGAUAAUGAGAUCUAAGAAUGUGAAGCCAGACCGAGUAGUCUUCAAUGCACUUAUCACUGCAUGUGGUCAAUCAGGAGCAGUGGAUCGUGCCUUUGAUGUAUUAGCGGAAAUGACGGGUGAGGCACAGCCUAUUGAUCCUGAUCACAUCACUGUUGGUGCACUGAUAAAGGCUUGCACAAAUGCUGGUCAGGUUGAUCGGGCACAGGAAGUGUACAACAUGGUCCAUAAAUAUAACAUUAAGGGCACUCCUGAAGUUUAUACAAUAGCCAUUAAUUCUUGCAGUCAGAUUGGCGAUUGGGAGUUUGCGUGCAAGGUGUAUGAUGACAUGACAAGAAAAGGCGUGGUCCCUGAUGAGAUGUUUCUCAGUGCAUUGAUAGAUGUAGCAGGCCAUGCUGGAAAGAUGGAUGCUGCAUUUGAAAUCAUACAAGUAGCCAAGGCUAAAGGAGCACAACUUGGAAUUAUACCAUAUAGCUCAUUAAUGGGAGCUUGUUCCAAUGCCAAAAACUGGCAGAAGGGACUGGAGCUCUAUGAGGAUAUAAAGUCCAUGAAACUAAAGCCAACAGUCGCAACCAUGAAUGCUUUGAUCACUGCCUUGUGUGAUGGAGAUCAACUUCCCAAGGCUCUUGAAGUGUUGUCAGAAAUGAAGGCAUGGGGCCUGCGCCCAAAUACCAUCACAUACUCCAUACUCUCAGUGGCAAGCGAGAGAAAGGAUGAUCUGGAGGCUGGCCUCAUGCUUCUUUCUCAAGCCAAAAAAGAUUGUGUUGCCCCUACCCUCAUUAUGAGUAAAUGCAUAAUUAGCAUGUGCUUGCGGAAAUUUGAGAGUGCUUGUACCCUUGGCGAGGCUGUUUUGUCUUUCAACUCAGGAAGGGCACAAAUUGAAAACAAAUGGACAUCAGUGGCGUUAAUGGUCUACCGUGGAACAAUUGCAGCUGGUGAGAAGCCUACUAUCGAACUUGUCUCACAGGUUUUGGGAUGCCUGCAGAUCCCUUGUGAUGCCACACUGAAAAACAGACUUGUAGAAAAUCUGAGUGUCACUGCUGUCUCGUCAAGAUACUCUAACCUAUGUUCAUUGGUGGAUGGGUUUGGAGAAUAUGAUCCUCGUGCUUUUUCAUUACUUGAGGAAGCUGCCUCUCUUGGAAUUGUGCCAUGUGUAUCCUUCAAAGAGAGUCCUAUUACCAUGGAUGCUAAACAGUUGCAAAUUCAUAUUGCCGAGGUGUACUUCUUAACAAUUUUGAAAGGUCUGAAACAUCGGCUUGCUGCUGGUGCAAAGUUACCGAACGUAACCAUUUUACUGCCCGUAGAGAAGGCACAAGUCAUAACCCUUGAAGGAGAGAAAACAAUCAAUGUAGCAGGACGGAUCAGCCAGGCAGUUGCAUCCCUUUUGAGAAGGCUGGGACUGCCUUACCAAGGGAAUGAAUCAUACGGGAAAAUUAGAAUCAAUGGGAUUUCCUUGAGAAGAUGGCUUCAGCCAAAGCUUGAUUCUCCUUUCAGUGGAAAACCAGGAGAAUGGAGUACAUCCCUGUCACGACUAGGAAAAGGAAUAAGCUUCCAGCAACGCGAUAUUCGCACUGGUGAUUUUUCUUUAGAAUAAAAAGGACACAAUUUUCUACCAACGGAAACAGGUUAGAAGAAUGACCUAUACAAUGAGUUUAUUUUAGCAUGAGACUACAAUUAUGCAGAUUACGUUAACAAGAGAGUACCUCUUCUUGCAUGCUAUGAGGGGGGACGGUAAUUCAGAAAAAAACAGUAGAUUUCCAAGAGACAAAGAAGAAGGCACACCAGUUCAAAACUACCAGAGCUCCAACUGGCCUACCUGCUAAACAAAAGGACCAUCCACCAAAGGUAUCCGGUGGUUACAGUCCCCAUGGUAAGAGAAGGAUCUACAACUGAUUGCAAAAUGAGCUUUACACUACUACUACUACUUUAAAAUCAGCCUGGUGAUUACUGGUCAUUCGUUUUGAAGUAGUAACUUAGAAAAUCUUUACAAAAUUCUAGAACUCUGUAUCAGUCCGAUAUAAGGAUCAGUGCUCUCAAGUAAUGAUGUAAUAUUUAUUCCUCUA